AUAUGAUUAGCUCAGUUGAUCAGAGCAUGGUGCUAAUAAUGCCAAGAUUGUGGGUUUGAUCCUCACUUAAGAGC